rnacentral:rRNA from 1 species
UCGUGAAUUCAUCUCCGGGGGUAGAGCACUGUUUCGGCAAGGGGGUCAUCCCGACUUACCAACCCGAUGCAAACUGCGAAUACCGGAGAAUGUUAUCACGGGAGACACACGGCGGGUGCUAACGUCCGUCGUGAAGAGGGAAACAACCCAGACCGCCAGCUAAGGUCCCAAAGUCAUGGUUAAGUGGGAAACGAUGUGGGAAGGCCCAGACAGCCAGGAUGUUGGCUUAGAAGCAGCCAUCAUUUAAAGAAAGCGUAAUAGCUCACUGGUCGAGUCGGCCUGCGCGGAAGAUGUAACGGGGCUAAACCAUGCACCGAAGCUGCGGCAGCGACGCUGAUGCGUUGUUGGGUAGGGGAGCGUUCUGUAAGCCUGUGAAGGUGUGCUGUGAGGCAUGCUGGAGGUAUCAGAAGUGCGAAUGCUGACAUAAGUAACGAUAAAGCGGGUGAAAAGCCCGCUCGCCGGAAGACCAAGGGUUCCUGUCCAACGUUAAUCGGGGCAGGGUGAGUCGACCCCUAAGGCGAGGCCGAAAGGCGUAGUCGAUGGGAAACAGGUUAAUAUUCCUGUACUUGGUGUUACUGCGAAGGGGGGACGGAGAAGGCUAUGUUGGCCGGGCGACGGUUGUCCCGGUUUAAGCGUGUAGGCUGGUUUUCCAGGCAAAUCCGGAAAAUCAAGGCUGAGGCGUGAUGACGAGGCACUACGGUGCUGAAGCAACAAAUGCCCUGCUUCCAGGAAAAGCCUCUAAGCAUCAGGUAACAUCAAAUCGUACCCCAAACCGACACAGGUGGUCAGGUAGAGAAUACCAAGGCGCUUGAGAGAACUCGGGUGAAGGAACUAGGCAAAAUGGUGCCGUAACUUCGGGAGAAGGCACGCUGAUAUGUAGGUGAAGCGACUUGCUCGUGGAGCUGAAAUCAGUCGAAGAUACCAGCUGGCUGCAACUGUUUAUUAAAAACACAGCACUGUGCAAACACGAAAGUGGACGUAUACGGUGUGACGCCUGCCCGGUGCCGGAAGGUUAAUUGAUGGGGUCAGCGCAAGCGAAGCUCUUGAUCGAAGCCCCGGUAAACGGCGGCCGUAACUAUAACGGUCCUAAGGUAGCGAAAUUCCUUGUCGGGUAAGUUCCGACCUGCACGAAUGGCGUAAUGAUGGCCAGGCUGUCUCCACCCGAGACUCAGUGAAAUUGAACUCGCUGUGAAGAUGCAGUGUACCCGCGGCAAGACGGAAAGACCCCGUGAACCUUUACUAUAGCUUGACACUGAACAUUGAGCCUUGAUGUGUAGGAUAGGUGGGAGGCUUUGAAGUGUGG